rnacentral:lncRNA from 1 species
UGUGAAUGGAGACUAGCCUGCUGGUAGAGACCUUGGCAGUGACCGCCGUGGGCAAUGAGCCAUGGGCCAACAAUAUUCAGUGCUGCGUUCCCUGAUGGAUGGUUACUGUUUGAGACUGAGGCCGGGGUAAAAGGGCUCAGUUUGUGCUUGAUUGACUCAUCCCGACGUGGCAAAGGUCCUGGCUUUCACCGGCGUGGGUAAGGGAAGAAGCGCUUUAUUUGUUCCUAGUUUAAUUCAAUGCCACCAUCCUAAGCAGAUGGUGGUCAUUCCACA